AGAGUUUGAUCCUGGCUCAGGACGAACGCUGGCGGCAUGCCUAACACAUGCAAGUCGAACGAGAAAGUUCCUUCGGGAGCAAUUAAAGUGGCGCACGGGUGAGUAACGCGUAGACAAUCUGCCCUUCAGUCUGGGACAACUUUUCGAAAGGAGAGCUAAUACCGGAUAACAAUGUUUAACAUAAGUUAAGUAUUUGAAAGCUUUAUGUGCUGAAGGAGGGGUCUGCGUCCCAUUAGCUAGUUGGUAGGGUAAAGGCUUACCAAGGCAACGAUGGGUAGCGGGUUUGAGAGGACGAUCCGCCACACUGGAACUGAGACACGGCCCAGACUCCUACGGGAGGCAGCAGUGGGGAAUCUUGCGCAAUGGGCGAAAGCCUGACGCAGCCACGCCGCGUGAGGGAUGAAGGCUUUCGGGUUGUAAACCUCUUUCAGCAGGGACGAAAAUGACGGUACCUGCAGAAGAAGGUCCGGCUAACUUCGUGCCAGCAGCCGCGGUAAUACGAAGGGACCUAGCGUAGUUCGGAAUUACUGGGCUUAAAGAGUUCGUAGGUGGUUAAAAUAGUUGGUGGUGAAAUCCCAGAGCUUAACUCUGGAACUGCCAUCAAAACUUUUUAGCUAGAGUAUGAUAGAGGAAAGUAGAAUUUCUAGUGUAGAGGUGAAAUUCGUAGAUAUUAGAAAGAAUACCAAUUGCGAAGGCAGCUUUCUGGAUCAUUACUGACACUGAGGAACGAAAGCAUGGGUAGCGAAGAGGAUUAGAUACCCUCGUAGUCCAUGCCGUAAACGAUGUGUGCUAGACGUUGGAAAUUUUAUUUUCAGUGUCGCAGCGAAAGCGAUAAGCACACCGCCUGGGGAGUACGACCGCAAGGUUAAAACUCAAAUGAAUUGACGGGGACCCGCACAAGUAGUGGAGCAUGUGGUUUAAUUCGAAGAUACGCGCAGAACCUUACCAACACUUGACAUGUUCGUCGCGACUCUAAGAGAUUAGAGUUUUCGGUUCGGCCGGACGAAACACAGGUGCUGCAUGGCUGUCGUCAGCUCGUGUCGUGAGAUGUUGGGUUAAGUCCCGCAACGAGCGCAACCCUCACUUUUAGUUGCUACCAUUUAGUUGGGCACUCUGAAAGAACUGCCAGUGAUAAGCUGGAGGAAGGUGGGGAUGACGUCAAGUCCUCAUGGCCCUUACGUGUUGGGCUACACACGUGCUACAAUGGCAUCUACAAAAGGAAGCAAGAAUGCGAAUUUAAGCAAAUCCUUAAAAGAUGCCUCAGUUCGGAUUGUACUCUGCAACUCGAGUACAUGAAGCUGGAAUUACUAGUAAUCGCGGAUCAGCGUGCCGCGGUGAAUACGUUCCCGGGUCUUGUACACACCGCCCGUCACACCAUGGGAGUUGGUUCUACCUUAAGGCAAAAUGUUAACCUUCGGGAAGCAUUUGACCACGGUAUAGUCAGCGACUGGGGUGAAGUCGUAACAAGGUAACC
rnacentral:rRNA from 1 species